GGCCCCUUGGUCAAGCGGUUAAGACAUCGCCCUUUCACGGCGGUAUCACGAGUUCGAUUCUCGUAGGGGUCA
rnacentral:tRNA from 1 species